GGGCGAAUAGCUCAGCUGGGAGAGUGCCUGGAUCACACCCAGGAGGUCACAGGUUCGAGCCCUGUUUCGCCCACCA
rnacentral:tRNA from 3 species